rnacentral:rRNA from 1 species
AUUGAACGCUGGCGGCAUGCUUUACACAUGCAAGUCGAACGGCAGCGCGGGCUUCGGCCUGGCGGCGAGUGGCGAACGGGUGAGUAAUGCAUCGGAACGUGCCCAGUAGUGGGGGAUAGCCCGGCGAAAGCCGGAUUAAUACCGCAUACGACCUGAGGGUGAAAGCGGGGGACCGAAAGGCCUCGCGCUAUUGGAGCGGCCGAUGUCGGGUUAGCCAGUUGGUGGGGUAAAGGCUUACCAAGGCGGCGAUCCGUAGCUGGUCUGAGAGGACGACCGGCCACACUGGGACUGAGACACGGCCCAGACUCCUACGGGAGGCAGCAGUGGGGAAUUUUGGACAAUGGGGGCAACCCUGAUCCAGCCAUGCCGCGUGCGGGAAGAAGGCCUUCGGGUUGUAAACCGCUUUUGUUCGGGAAGAAAUCCUCUGGGCUAAUACCCCGGGGGGAUGACGGUACCGGAAGAAUAAGCACCGGCUAACUACGUG